rnacentral:miRNA from 1 species
ACGUGACCAACACAUUGCAACGU